ACGGCAUGAUGGGGACAUUUUCGUAUGAGAUCCUUUAAUCUUUCCCAUGACUCAUGGAACUUUUCACCAUCUUGUUGUGAAAAGCUCGUGAGAGAUCGUCUUAUUU
rnacentral:snoRNA from 1 species